AUCCAGCUGACGAGUUCCAUUUAGGCCGAAAUGCGCGUCUUGGAU
rnacentral:hammerhead_ribozyme from 1 species